GCUAACUUGUGGUCAUUUCCGGC
rnacentral:siRNA from 1 species